UGGCGAACGGGUGAGUAACACGUGGGUAAUCUGCCCUGCACUCUGGGAUAAGCCUGGGAAACUGGGUCUAAUACUGGAUAUGACCUUUCUCCUUAUGGGGUUUGGUGGAAAGUUUUUCGGUGUAGGAUGAGCCCGCGGCCUAUCAGCUUGUUGGUGGGGUGAUGGCCCACCAAGGCGACGACGGGUAGCCGGCCUGAGAGGGUGAUCGGCCACAUUGGGACUGAGAUACGGCCCAG
rnacentral:rRNA from 1 species